rnacentral:rRNA from 2 species
GAACUUUCCAGAGAUGGACUGGUGCCUUCGGGAACUGUGAGACAGGUGCUGCAUGGCUGUCGUCAGCUCGUGUUGUGAAAUGUUGGGUUAAGUCCCGCAACGAGCGCAACCCUUAUCCUUUGUUGCCAGCGAUUAGGUCGGGAACUCAAAGGAGACUGCCAGUGAUAAACUGGAGGAAGGUGGGGAUGACGUCAAGUCAUCAUGGCCCUUACGACCAGGGCUACACACGUGCUACAAUGGCGCAUACAAAGAGAAGCGACCUCGCGAGAGCAAGCGGACCUCAUAAAGUGCGUCGUAGUCCGGAUUGGAGUCUGCAACUCGACUCCAUGAAGUCGGAAUCGCUAGUAAUCGUGGAUCAGAAUGCCACGGUGAAUACGUUCCCGGGCCUUGUACACACCGCCCGUCACACCAUGGGAGUGGGUUGCAAAAGAAGUAGGUAGCUUAACCUUCGGGAGGGCGCUUACCACUUUGUGAUUCAUGACUGGGGUGAAGUCGUAACAAGGUAACCGUAGGGGAACCUGCGGUUGGAUCACCUCCUUACCUUAAAGAAGC